ACUCAAAUGAAUUGACGGGGACCCGCACAACCUGUGGAGCGUGUGGUUUAAUUCGAGACUAAACGAAAGACCUCACCAAGGUUUGACAUGCUACCGUACAUUUCCCUAGAAAUAGGGAGAAAUCCGCAAGGAUGGUAGCACAGGUGCUGCAUGGCUGUCGUCAGCUCGUGCCGUGAGGUGUUCCCUUAAGUGGGGAAACGAGCGCAACCCCCAUCUAAUGUUAAAUUAUUCAUUAGAAACGGUCCCAGUUUUACUGGGAAGGAAGGAGGGGUAGAUGUCAAGUCAGCACGGCCCUUAUACCUUGGGCCACACACACACUACAAUGGCGAAGAACAAUGAGUUGCAAGUACGCAAGUGCAAGCUAAUCUCUGAAAUUUCGCCUCAGUUCAGAUCGGAGUCUGAAACCCGACUCCGUGAAGCCGGAAUAGGUAGUAAUCGCAGAUCAGCGUGCUGCGGUGAAUACGUUCUCGGGUCUUGCACACACCGCCCGU
rnacentral:rRNA from 1 species